ACUCAGUCGCCAGUGGCCAAUGGAGGGGGUUCGGAGAGCUUCCGGAUUGGUGAGCACGUGGAAAUUUGGGACGAGUGGUGCCUGGAGAGAGCACGAAAGCUCUGAACACUUACUACAUACUUUGCCCUGUGCAUCUCUUCCAUCUGGCUGUUCCUGCGUUAUAGCCUUUUGUAAUAAGCCGGUGAUCUAGUGACUCUCUAGGAAAUUCCCAAUACAGAGCAACAAUUCUGCUUUAAAGUGCCAUGUGAAAAGCGGGUACCACCAUAAUAAGAGAAUCUUCCUUACAAAGGUUGUUGACUAUCAACAUGGGAUCCAGGUAAAGCCAGAGAGGAAAGGGACAUCCCCAAGAUAUCCAGGACUCACCGCCAGGACUUUGAAUACGAAACAGAGCAGAAGAAGAUCUACAGUGGAUUCAUCCCAAGAGCUGGACCCAAAUGAAGCAGUCAACCAAUCCCUGCUGCCUGCAUCCUGCAGAUGCCUUUGUCCUUGCCAGAUUCUUCCAUCAAAUGACUCAAAACAGCAGAAGCCAUGACGAUUUCUUUAACACUGGAGGAUUGCAUUUCAUAUGGGGCAAUGGCUGCAGUUCAGAGACCAAAACAAUCAAAAGAACAUGUCAUGCAGAGUAAGGAGAUCUGACUUCACAACCUGCUAAGUUUGCUCCACUGGGAAAAAAAACUCCAUGUCGUAGUUUUCAGAUGUGCACGAUAAAAACAGUAAAAACCUAGCAUGCAUGGAUAUUUUAAGAGUGAAGAAAAAUUUCGUAUUUGAAGGUACAGACCACGCACAUAUAAGAGAGCUUCAGGGCCAGACUUUGAGGCCAAAUGCUGCAGGGCAUAAUCCUAUUAUUUCAAAGUAGAUCUCUCAUCUUUUCAUACAUGCCGUGUAACUGCCCUGAAGACAAAGACAAAGGAAUAAGCAGACAAACAAACCAAGCACCUCAGCCUAGGUUCUCUAAAAACAAACCUUAGGCAAAGUGGUAGCUGGUGCAUUCCUGGAAGCAGCAAUCCUGGCCUUUGAGAGAGCAGCUGCAGGAAUAGAGGCAGCGAAGAACGGGAAGCAGACAUAGUCGUGCUUUUUCACCACUGUUUCUCUAUACAUCCAAGACACAAGGCUGGAGGUUGGACUGAGGCACUCAGAGAACGCCCAGGAUGUCUCAGGGUGGAUAACGUGGCACGUUUGCACUUUGGAACAGGAGAGAGGCCUUCAUCUGCUGACUUCCUCCCAUCUCCCGUCUCCCAUUGGUCUAAGGUGCUCCUAGAGAGUUGACGUCUCUGCAUUUCUACUUUCUACGUUGCUUCUCCUGGCCCCUUCAACUCGGGCCUGAUGCUUCAACCAAGUCUGGAAAUGCUGGGAGAUGCCUGAGAUUGGGCAUGUGGCUUGUCAGCCUCUGGUGGUGGAAUUAUGUGUAUCUACCACGCGGGCAGAAACGUGGGGGACUGGAGAAGGUAAGAGGAUCUGGGAGAGCACCCACAAUGACCUGCAUCAUGGGACUGUCUUAAAAAUUGUACCUUGCAGCUUGUUCUUCAUAGGUUAGAUAUUGAGGGUCUUCUGGCAUGGCUUACAUGGACCAGCCCUUGCACUAAUAUAUAUCUAUUUGAUGUGUAAAAGAGACUAACAUAUGGGGUUCUGUACAGGAUGAUGAGAAAAAGCAGGUUUAAUAUGUAAAGCAAUGAAAAGUACCAUUUGCUUUUGUUUUUAGUGUUAAGAAAAUACAAAAUACCAAAGAAGUCUUUUAGAAAACAACACAAAAUUAUUAUCACAUGUAAUCCUCUUCUAAGAUAAAUGUUUUCGUUGUAGCACAUUAAUUUUUGUCAUCCAAAUAUUGUAGGAAAGUUGAAAUUUACAUACCUUCUCAAGUACUAAGAUUUUUUCUAACGUUCUAAAAAUGUUCUCAACUUGCUUUGGAAUUCCUCCUGCUGAAGGCACUGUAAGGCCUCAAACUUUCCAAUCAAAGCUUUUGUGCUGAUUAAAACAGUUUUUCAGGUUAGUUUCAAGCGUGUCAGAAUAUGUUCCCCUCCCCUCUUUUCCUAGGUAAGAUGAUAUCUAAGACUGAAGGGGAGCUUAAAAUUAUCUAACAUUAUGAGAAUUUUAUUAAAUAAUACUCAAUGUCCGUCAUUUUUUAUCUCAU